ensembl:lncRNA
GUUUUGUUCCCGGGGAAGGAUGACUGUGUGACAGUAGUUCCAUGCCUGUGGCUCAAAGGGGGACUUUGCUACUGGCCGCCACACAGCAUCACCAGCACGAAGUCCUUCAGCCACGACCUGUUCACCACCUGAAGACGCCUGGGUGGCUGUCCUUUAUGAACUCAUCAAGCAUGCAGGAGAGUGAAAAACUUUCCAGCGUGGGCCCCUACAGUACCACCCCAAGGAUGCACAUCUACACCAUAACACCCUGUGGAUUGCAGCCCUGGAGGAUGGAGCAAGCACAGUACUCCACGGCACCAGAGAGGUACUCCACGGCACCAUGUGGAGGACAG